rnacentral:lncRNA from 1 species
CCUGUUCUAGACAUUUCAUAUAAAUGGGAUUAUACAAAAUCUGGCUCUUUGUGACGGGCUUCUUAUACUUAGCAUAAUGUUUCCAAGGUGCAUCCAUGCUGUAGCAUGUGUCAGUUUGACAUUCUUUGCUACUGAAUAACAUCUUAUUGUAUGAAUAUAUAUAAUAGUUUAUCUGUUCAUCCAUUGGACAUUUGCAUUAUUUACACCUUUUUGGUAUUAUAAAAGUUGCUGCUUUGAACAUUGGUCACCAAGUUUUGUGCAGAUGUAUGUUUUCAUAUCUCUUGGAUAUGUACCUAGGAAGGGAAUUGUUAGAUCAUAAGAUUUAUGUUUAAUAUUUUAAUAUGUUUAAUAUUUUGAGUUAGCUGCCCAACUUUUCUAAAGGAGCUGAUCAUUACAUAUCCCAUCAGUAAUGAAUAAGAAUCAUGAUUUUUAAAAAAUAUAUAGCCAUUUUUUUUUUUUUAGUACCAGGGAUUGAACUCAAGGACACUUAAUGACUUAGCUACAUUCACAGCCCUAUUUUGUAUUUUAUUUAGAGACAGGGUCUCACUGAAUUGCUUAGUACCUUGCUUUUAUUGAGGCUGGCUUUGAACUCUAAAUCUUCUUGCCUCAUCCUCCCAAGCUGCUGGGAUUACAGGCAUGGGCCACAGCACCCAGUUUAUGAGUAUGGAGUGGUAUCUUAUUGUGGUUUUAAUUUGUAUUUUCCUGAUGAUUAAUGAUUUUAAGCAUCUUUUCUUGUGCUUAUCAUUUAUAUAUCUAUAGUAACAUGUGUAUUUGUAUCUUUUGCCUAUUUUAUAUUCUGUUAUUUGUAUUCUUGUAGAAUUGUAUGAAUUCUUUAUGUAUUCUGUAUAAAAG